UCACACAUCAACAACAAACAACACCUUUUUCUGUCAACACCACAAUUAGUAAGAUUACCGUCAAAACCAACUAGUUAAGAUGAGGACUAACCUGAUGUUGCUUCUCACCCUCGCCUUCCUUGUGCUAACAUCAGAUGCAGUAACAAAGCCAUCAACGGAAGGUAGCAUCGAACCCGAGGGAUGUACGUCAACCAUUAUCCCAGCGAAUACGCCAUGUGAAGCCCAGGAUUGCCAUGACCGAUGUCUAAAGUCGGUCAAUGGAUCUGGCGAGUGUGUUCCUGGUGGGUGCAAGUGCACAUUCUGCAUAUUUAUUUGCUCCAUUGCUCCACAGCAAUGAAGAAACAGGUACUAACUAGCUAAGAUAAGAUACCAUGUCCAGCGGAAUGUAACCGAUGAAAUCGCAAAGAAUGUAACGGAAAGGCUAUUCAGCGGAAUACAAUAAUAAAUGAUAAGUUGGACAGACCGUAAACUUCGUGA